UAGAGUUUGAUCCUGGCUCAGAUUGAACGCUGGCGGAAUGCUUUACACAUGCAAGUCGAACGGCAGCACGGAGAGCUUGCUCUCUGGUGGCGAGUGGCGAACGGGUGAGUAAUAUAUCGGAACGUGUCCAAUAAUGGGGGAUAACGAGUCGAAAGAUUCGCUAAUACCGCAUACGCCCUACGGGGGAAAGCAGGGGAUCGUAAGACCUUGCGUUAAUGGAGCGGCCGAUAUCUGAUUAGCUUGUUGGUGAGGUAAAGGCUCACCAAGGCGACGAUCAGUAGCUGGUUUGAGAGAACGACCAGCCACACUGGAACUGAGACACGGUCCAGACUCCUACGGGAGGCAGCAGUGGGGAAUUUUGGACAAUGGGGGCAACCCUGAUCCAGCCAUUCCGCGUGAGUGAAGAAGGCCUUCGGGUUGUAAAGCUCUUUCGCAAGGGAAGAAAACUUAUGAUCGAAUAAAUCAUGAGGUUGACGGUACCUUGAUAAGAAGCACCGGCUAACUACGUGCCAGCCGCCGCGGUAAUAC
rnacentral:rRNA from 1 species